rnacentral:rRNA from 1 species
AUGGGAGUUUUUAAACUUCCAUUCUCUGUUUGUGAUGACCUAUCAAAGUUGAUCCGAGACUUUUGGUGGGGAGCGGAAAAUGGGAAGCGCAAAACACAUUGGCUCAGUUGGGAUAAGAUGAUCAGAUCAAAAGGGCAAGGUGGAAUGGGAUUCCGAGAUAUGCGGAUUUUUAAUCAGGCACUACUGGCUCGUCAAGCUUGGCGGUUGCUGCAAACACCGGAUAGUCUGUGUGCAUGCGUCCUGAAGGCCCGAUACUACCCACAAGGCAACCUACUAGACACUGUGUUUAUAGGGCAACCCUCGUCAACUUGGUCUGCUAUAUCUUAUGGG